GAUAUUAACAUGAAGUAUUGUAACUAGGUAUAUUGAACCUAGUUAAAAUAUUAGUUAUCUAUUAGUGAAAAUAGUGCUUUGACCAAACUAGAUAACUAACCAAAACAUAAGGGCCAAAAGUGAAUAUGCUAGAACCUUAGAUAAAUAACAACACAAAAAAAAGAAAGGGAAAAAGAAAAGGGCGUGACCAGGAGGUCACCCCUGUGCGACGCAUGACAAGGAAGAAGGAGAAGGAGACUGAUUUCACAUGAGGAUCACGAAAUUGGAGGGUUGUAGUCUCGAUUAUGUCUUCUUUGCUUGAUUCUAAGGCUCUAAUAGGUGGCAUAACGUUUGGAUGGCAACAGGUCAAACGGGUGAUAAAGCAACAACAUUCCUACGGGCAAAGGGAUAUACAUGAGAUAUAAAAAAGGGGCAUCCAUAUUAGAAUGGAGAAAGUCACAAAAUGUGUGACUCGAGAUAAUGAAGUGGUGGCUCGAUAUUGUUUCGUUGGGCAUUAUGAGCAUUGAAUACUCCGUUAUGUUUGGUACAAAAUCAUAUUAUGAGUCCUCACUUAACAAAAGCUAAUAUUUUGAUGUUUUAAAUGUAGGUGAUAAGUCAUGAAAAUCAACGGGGUGACUUGAACCAGAAUCAUGAAAGAAGAAAACAUCUCACAAGUCAUUCACCAAUAAUUCGAUUCGGGUGGUAGGAAGGCGAAAGUGAUCAAGUUUUUGAAGCGGGUCAAUGAUGUGAAGAUUUAGUGAUGCCUUGUUCACUAAGUAAUAUGGGUUUUCUUAUUGGGUCAACUUGACUUAGUUAGUUGCAUUUUAGAGUUUAACUUUAAUGUUUAUUUUAGCCAAGUGCUAGUAUGUCAAUGUAGUAGUGGGUUAUAUUUGUUUUAUAAAAACCUUGGUUAAUAAGCAGGUAUUGUUUUUGUAAGGAUUGGUCGUGAUGCAAACAGGUCAUGGCGAAAUUUUCUAAAAGUGUGUUUGUAAUUAUUUUAUUAA